GAUGAACGCUGGCGGCGUGCCUAAUACAUGCAAGUCGAGCGAACAGACGAGGAGCUUGCUCCUCUGACGUUAGCGGCGGACGGGUGAGUAACACGUGGAUAACCUACCUAUAAGACUGGGAUAACUUCGGGAAACCGGAGCUAAUACCGGAUAAUAUAUUGAACCGCAUGGUUCAAUAGUGAAAGACGGUUUUGCUGUCACUUAUAGAUGGAUCCGCGCCGCAUUAGCUAGUUGGUAAGGUAACGGCUUACCAAGGCAACGAUGCGUAGCCGACCUGAGAGGGGUAACGGCCAAAAUGGAAACGAGAAAAGGGCCAAACUCCUAAGGGAGGCAGGAGUAGGGAAUCUUCCGCAAUGGGCGAAAGCCUGAAGGGGGAAAGCCGGGGGAGUGAAGAAGGGUUUCGGAUCGUAAAACUCUGUUAUUAGGGAAGAACAAAUGUGUAAGUAACUAUGCACGUCUUGACGGUACCUAAUCAGAAAGCCACGGCUAACUACGUG
rnacentral:rRNA from 1 species